rnacentral:rRNA from 1 species
UACAGAGGGUGCAAGCGUUAAUCGGAAUUACUGGGCGUAAAGAGCGCGCAGGCGGUCGUAUAAGUCGAAUGUGAAAGCCCCCGGCUCAACUGGGGAGGGUCAUUCGAUACUGUUCGACUCGAAGGCAGGAGAGGGAAGUGGAAUUCCGGGUGUAGUGGUGAAAUGCGUAGAUAUCCGGAGGAACACCAGUGGCGAAGGCGACUUUCUGGCCUGUUCUUGACGCUGAGGCGCGAAAGCUAGGGGAGCAAACGGG